rnacentral:rRNA from 1 species
AGGAGCAUGUGGUUUAAUUCGAUGAUACGCGAGGAACCUUACCUGGGCUCAAAUGUAUGUUGACGUAUUCUGAAAGGGAUACUUCUUCGGACAAUAUACAAGGUGCUGCAUGGUUGUCGUCAGCUCGUGCCGUGAGGUGUCGGGUUAAGUCCCAUAACGAGCGCAACCCCUAUCAUUAGUUGCCAUCAGGUUAAGCUGGGGACUCUAAAGGAACUGCCUACGCAAGUAGUGAGGAAGGCGGGGAUGACGUCAAAUCAGCACGGCCCUUACGUCCAGGGCUACACACGUGCUACAAUGGCCGAUACAGAGGGCAGCUACCUGGUGACAGGAUGCAAAUCUCCAAAGUCGGUCUCAGUUCGGAUCGGAGUCUGCAACCCGACUCCGUGAAGUUGGAUUCGCUAGUAAUCGCGCAUCAGCCAUGGCGCGGUGAAUACGUUCCCGGGCCUU